rnacentral:rRNA from 1 species
GACGAACGCUGGCGGCGUGCCUAAUACAUGCAAGUCGAACGAACCGCGACUAAGUGCUUGCACUAAGUCAAGGUGAGUGGCGAACGGGUGAGUAACACGUGGGUAACCUACCUCAUAGUGGGGGAUAACAGUCGGAAACGACUGCUAAUACCGCAUAGGACAUAGGAUCACAUGAUCCAGUGAGGAAAGUUGGCGCAAGCUAUCGCUAAGAGAUGGACCCGCGGUGCAUUAGCUAGUUGGUAGGGUAAAGGCCUACCAAGGCGAUGAUGCAUAGCCGACCUGAGAGGGUGAUCGGCCACAUUGGGACUGAGACACGGCCCAAACUCCUACGGGAGGCAGCAGUAGGGAAUCUUCCGCAAUGGACGCAAGUCUGACGGAGCAACGCCGCGUGAGUGAAGAAGGUCUUCGGAUCGUAAAGCUCUGUUGUUAGAGAAGAACAGCGCAUAGAGUAACUGCUAUGCGUGUGACGGUAUCUAACCAGAAAGCCACGGCUAACUACGUG